UACGUAGGUGGCAAGCGUUGUCCGGAUUUACUGGGCGUAAAGGAUGCGUAGGCGGACUUUUAAGUGGGAUGUGAAAUUCCGAGGCUCAACCUCGGCGCUGCAUUCCAAACUGGAAGUCUAGAGUGCGGGAGAGGAAAGUGGAAUUCCUAGUGUAGCGGUGAAAUGCGUAGAGAUUAGGAAGAACACCAGUGGCGAAGGCGACUUUCUGGACCGUAACUGACGCUGAUGCAUGAAAGCGUGGGGAGCAAACAGGAUUAGAUACCCUGGUAGUCCACGCCGUAAACGAUGGGUACUAGGUGUAGGAGGGUCCAACCUUCUGUGCCGCCGUUAACACAUUAAGUACCCCGCCUGGGGAGUACGGUCGCAAGAUUAAA
rnacentral:rRNA from 1 species